rnacentral:rRNA from 1 species
UAAUACGGGGGGGACAAGCGUUGUUCGGAUUUACUGGGCGUAAAGGGCGCGUAGGCGGACCAUCAAGUCGGAUGUGAAACCCGGCAGCUUAACUGCCGGCCUGCAUACGAUACUGUUGGUCUUGAGUACAUGAGAGGAAGGCGGAAUUCCAGGUGUAGCGGUGAAAUGCGUAGAUAUCUGGAGGAACACCAGUAGCGAAGGCGGCCUUCUGGCGUGAUACUGACGCUCAAGCGCGAAGGCUAGGGUAGCAAACAGGAUUAGAUACCCUGGUAGUCCUAGCGGUAAACGAUGGGUACUAGGUGUCGGAGGUAUUGACCCCUUCGGUGCCGCAGCUAACGCAUUAAGUACCCCGCCUGGGGAGUACGGUCGCAAGAUUG